CGCUGGGAGCUGUAGACCGGAGCUGUUGCUAUUCGGCCAUCUUGGCUCCUCUCCUGCACUGCAAGAAUGGACUAAUACGCUAUGUGAAGACAAAGGGGAUGUCUGCAAGCCAGGACGAGUGCGUCUACCAGAAACUGAGUUCUGCUGGACUUUGAUCUAGGACAUCCAGCCUCCAGAAUGGAAUGUGCCAUAUGUGGAGACCUGCAUGGAAAGGAACUGAGGAUGCUCUCUCACUAAAAGCUAGAAGGAACUGAGGCCCUCAGUCAACAGUCUACAAGACACUGAAUCUUGCCAGCAGCCAAGCAGUGAGCUUGAAAGCAGAUCUAUCAUCAGCUGAACCUUCAGAUGAGACCGCAGCCUAAGCAGAUACCUUGGUUGCAGCCAUGUGAGACAACCUGAAACAGAGGGCACAGCUAAGCCUCAGCCAGGUUCAUGACCCUCUGAGGAAACUGUGAGAAAGCAAAUGUCAUUUUAAGCUAUUUAAUUUUGGAGGUAGUUUAUUACACAACAAUAAAUAACUAUUAUAAUUAUCUUGAGGAUUUAUUUCCUGGGGAGAAUACAUGGAAUUGCAUAUAUAGGUCCUCAUAUGCAGAAUACUGGUACCCUAGAGAUGUUCACCCCAGAGAUGUUUUAGGAACCUGUGAAUAUGUUACAUUAAAUGGCAAAGUUUUCCUGGAUGGUUUAAGUUUAAGAUGGAAAAGUUUUACUGGAUUAUCCAGUGGGUCCAAUCUAGUAACAUGAGUCCUUAAAAAUGGAGAAUAUUUUUUGGCCAUGAUCAGAGAGACAUGUGAUGAUGGAAAAAGUGUCAGAGAUGCAAUGUGAGGGGACUAAAACUGCUGUUGCUGACUUUAAAGAUGGAGAGAGGGGAACCCGAGUCAAGGAAUGCAAAUGGCCUCUGGAAGCUGGAAAAAGCAAGAAAUGGAUUCUCCUUUAGAGCCUGUGGAAUAAAAUGCAGUCAUGCUGACACCUUGAUUUUACCUCAGUGAGACCAAUACUGGAGUAUGACCUUCGGAGCUGAAUAAAAUUAUACGUACACAUCUUAAUUUCUUGGGAUUUGAUUACUUCUUCUGCUUUGAAAUUAGACCAAGUUUAGCCUGCCUUUGCUAUUUUGGCGUAUCUCCAAUUCUUCAUGAUUUUCUCAUAGUGUUGCCUCCAUAUGAUGCAAAAUAUCCAACCUAGCCCUGACAUGAAAACUUAAUUGAAAGUAUCCAACAGUGGGAGUGACCCAAGGCAAACUUACAAAAAGAAGCACAUGGCAUGUGGAAAGAAG
rnacentral:lncRNA from 1 species